rnacentral:rRNA from 1 species
UAUUGGUCAAUGGACGCGAGUCUGAACCAGCCAAGUAGCUUGAAGGAUGACUGCCCUAUGGGUUGUAAACUUCUUUUCUAUGGGAAUAANGUUUUCCACGUGUGGAAUUUUGUAUGUACCAUAUGAAUAAGGAUCUGCUAACUCCCUGCCCGCAGCCGCGGUAAUACGGAGGAUCCGAGCGUUAUCCGGAUUUAUUGGGUUUAAAGGGAGCGUAGGUGGACAGUUAAGUCAGUUGUGAAAGUUUGCGGCUCAACCGUAAAAUUGCAGUUGAAACUGGAAGUCUUGAGUACAGUAGAGGUGGGCGGAAUUCGUGGUGUAGCGGUGAAAUGCUUAGAUAUCACGAAGAACUCCGAUUGCGAAGGCAGCUCACUAGACUGCAACUGACACUGAUGCUCGAAAGUGUGGGUAUCAAAC